GACGAACGCUGGCGGCGUGCUUAACACAUGCAAGUCGAACGAAGAGCGAUGGAAGCUUGCUUCUAUCAAUCUUAGUGGCGAACGGGUGAGUAACGCGUAAUCAACCUGCCCUUCAGAGGGGGACAACAGUUGGAAGCGACUGCUAAUACCGCAUACGAUCUAACCUCGGCAUCGAGGAAAGAUGAAAGGUGGCCUCUAUGUAUAAGCUAUCACUGAAGGAGGGGAUUGCGUCUGAUUAGCUAGUUGGAGGGGUAACGGCCCACCAAGGCGAUGAUCAGUAGCCGGUCUGAGAGGAUGAACGGCCACAUUGGGACUGAGACACGGCCCAGACUCCUACGGGAGGCAGCAGUGGGGAAUCUUCCGCAAUGGACGAAAGUCUGACGGAGCAACGCCGCGUGAGUGAUGACGGCCUUCGGGUUGUAAAGCUCUGUUAAUCGGGACGAAAGGCCUUCUUGCGAAUAGUGAGAAGGAUUGACGGUACCGGAAUAGAAAGCCACGGCUAACUACGUG
rnacentral:rRNA from 1 species